rnacentral:rRNA from 1 species
CGCUGGCGGCGUGCCUAAUACAUGCAAGUCGAGCGGACCAAAGGGAGCUUGCUCCUGGAGGUUAGCGGCGAACGGGUGAGUAACACGUGGGCAACCUGCCUGUAAGACUGGGAUAACAUCGAGAAAUCGGUGCUAAUACCGGAUAAUAAAAAGAACUGCAUGGUUCUUUUUUGAAAGAUGGUUUCGGCUAUCACUUACAGAUGGGCCCGCGGCGCAUUAGCUAGUUGGUGAGGUAACGGCUCACCAAGGCGACGAUGCGUAGCCGACCUGAGAGGGUGAUCGGCCACACUGGGACUGAGACACGGCCCAGACUCCUACGGGAGGCAGCAGUAGGGAAUCUUCCGCAAUGGACGAAAGUCUGACGGAGCAACGCCGCGUGAGUGAUGAAGGUUUUCGGAUCGUAAAACUCUGUUGUUAGGGAAGAACAAGUGCCGUUCGAAAGGGCGGCACCUUGACGGUACCUAACGAGAAAGCCACGGCUAACUACGUG